UACGGAGGGGGUUAGCGUUGUUCGGAAUUACUGGGCGUAAAGCGCACGUAGGCGGAUCAGAAAGUUGGGGGUGAAAUCCCGGGGCUCAACCCCGGAACUGCCUCCAAAACUCCUGGUCUUGAGUUCGAGAGAGGUGAGUGGAAUUCCGAGUGUAGAGGUGAAAUUCGUAGAUAUUCGGAGGAACACAGUGCGAAGGCGGCUCACUGGCUCGAUACUGACGCUGAGGUGCGAAAGUGUGGGGAGCAAACAGGAUUAGAUACCCCGUGUC
rnacentral:rRNA from 1 species